rnacentral:rRNA from 1 species
CCUACGGGUGACAGCAGUGAGGAAUAUUGCACAAUGGGCGACAGCCUGAUGCAGCAACGCCGCGUGAGCGAUGAAGGCCUUCGGGUCGUACAGCUCUUUCCUCCAGGAAGAUAAUGACGGUCCUUGAGCAGGAAUCCCCGUCUCACUACGUGCCACCAGCCGCGGUACUACGUCGGGGGCUAGCGUUAUCCGGAAUUACUGGGCGUAAAGGGUGCGUAGGUGGUUUCUUAAGUCAGAGGUGAAAGGCUACGGCUCAACCUUAGUAAGCCGUUGAAACUGGGGAACUUGAGUUCAGGAGAGGAGAGGGGAAUUCCGAGUGUAGCGGUGAAAUGCGUAGAUAUUAGGAGGAACACCAGUUGCGAAGGCGGCGCUCUGGACUGUAACUGACACUGAGGCACGAAAGCGUGGGGAGCAAACAGGAUUAGAUACCCUAGUAGUC